GACGAACGCUGGCGGCGUGCCUAAUACAUGCAAGUCGAGCGGAACUGGGGGUGCUUGCUCCUUCCAGCUUAGCGGCGGACGGGUGAGUAACACGUGGGCAACCUGCCCUGCAGAUCGGGAUAACUCCGGGAAACCGGUGCUAAUACCGAGUAGUUUGGCGCCUCUCCUGAGGCGCUACGGAAAGACGGUUUCGGCUGUCACUGCAGGAUGGGCCCGCGGCGCAUUAGCUAGUUGGUGGGGUAACGGCCUACCAAGGCGACGAUGCGUAGCCGACCUGAGAGGGUGACCGGCCACACUGGGACUGAGACACGGCCCAGACUCCUACGGGAGGCAGCAGUAGGGAAUCUUCCGCAAUGGACGCAAGUCUGACGGAGCAACGCCGCGUGAGUGACGAAGGUUUUCGGAUCGUAAAACUCUGUUGUGAGGGAAGAACACGUACCAACUAACUAUUGGUACCUUGACGGUACCUCGCCAGAAAGCCACGGCUAACUACGUGCCAGCCGCCGCGGUAA
rnacentral:rRNA from 1 species